rnacentral:rRNA from 1 species
UGGGGAAUAUUGGACAAUGGGCGCAAGCCUGAUCCAGCCAUGCCGCGUGAGUGAUGAAGGCCCUAGGGUUGUAAAGCUCUUUCAGCGAGGAGGAUAAUGACGUUACUCGCAGAAGAAGCCCCGGCUAACUUCGUGCCAGCAGCCGCGGUAAUACGAAGGGGGCUAGCGUUGUUCGGAAUCACUGGGCGUAAAGCGCACGUAGGCGGACUUUUAAGUCAGGGGUGAAAUCCCGGGGCCCAACCUCGGAACUGCCUUUGAUACUGGAAGUCUGGAGUCCGAGAGAGGUGAGUGGAACUCCGAGUGUAGAGGUGAAAUUCGUAGAUAUUCGGAAGAACACCAGUGGCGAAGGCGGCUCACUGGCUCGGUACUGACGCUGAGGUGCGAAAAGCGUGGGGAGCAAACAGGAUUAGAUACCCUGGUAGUCCACGCCGUAAACGAUGGAAGCUAGCCGUCAGGGUGCAUGCAUCUUGGUGGCGCAGUUAACGCAUUAAGCUUCCCGCCUGGGGAGUACGGUCGCAAGAUUAAAACUCAAAUGAAUUGACGGGGUCAUAGCUG